AACCCAUGAUGUGGGCAACUCCUAAGCAACUCCCAAAAUCUUUCCCAUGCUUCUGACAAGUUUUCUUGCCCAUUUUGAGUGAAGUUUCCAAUGUCCCUUUAAAGUUU
rfam:Glycine max cultivar Williams 82 chromosome 1, whole genome shotgun sequence.